rnacentral:rRNA from 1 species
AUUGAACGCUGGCGGCAUGCUUUACACAUGCAAGUCGAACGGGGUGAAGGGGCAACUCUUCACUCAGUGGCGGACGGGUGAGUAAUGCAUCGGAACGUAUCCUGAAGUGGGGGACAACCCAGCGAAAGCUGGGCUAAUACCGCAUAUGCUCGGAAGAGGAAAGUGGGGGACCUGAGAGGGCCUGAUGCGUUGGGAGCGGCCGAUGUCCGAUUAGCUGGUUGGUGGGGUAAAGGCCUACCAAGGCGACGAUCGGUAGCUGGUCUGAGAGGAUGAUCAGCCACACUGGGACUGAGACACGGCCCAGACUCCUACGGGAGGCAGCAGUGGGGAAUAUUGGACAAUGGGCGGAAGCCUGAUCCAGCCAUGCCGCGUGUGUGAAGAAGGCCUUUUGGUUGUAAAGCACUUUAAGCGAGGAGGAGGCUACCUGGAUUAAUACUCUAGGAUAGUGGACGUUACUCGCAGAAUAAGCACCGGCUAACUCUGUGCCAGCCGCCGCCGUAAGAC